rnacentral:rRNA from 1 species
UACGAAGGGGGCUAGCGUUGCUCGGAAUCACUGGGCGUAAAGGGUGCGUAGGCGGGUCUUAAGUCAGAGGUGAAAUCCUGGAGCUCAACUCCAGAACUGCCUUUGAUACUGAGGAUCUUGAGUUCGGGAGAGGUGAGUGGAACUGCGAGUGUAGAGGUGAAAUCGUAGAUAUUCGCAAGAACACCAGUGGCGAAGGCGGCUCACUGGCCCGAUACUGACGCUGAGGCACGAAAGCGUGGGGAGCAACAGGA